ACCUGAGGUACCUCUGGGUAGUACUCCUCUUUCUCUGGAAUCCUUGGCAGACACCCCAAGAUGGGGCUCCCAGCAGAGCAGUAUUUCUCUCCAUGAGAGAAUGUCAACGCAUUUUCUGUGAGGGAACAGCAGCCCUCCUGACCUCUCAGGCUCUUGGUGUGAGCAUUAAGAACCACCACAGGGGCACCACCACAGGGGCUGGAGAGAUGGCUCAGCGGUUAAGAGCACUGACUGCUCUUCCAAAGGUCCUGAGUUCAAAUCCCAGCAACCACAAGGUGGCUCACAACCACCUCUAAUGAGUGAGAUCUGAUCUGAUCUGAUGCCCUCUUCUGGUGUGCCUGGUGUGCUUACAUGUAAUAAAUAAAUAAAUCUUUAAAAAAAAAAAAACCACCAUAGUAGCUACAAAUCCUUUACUCUGUGGACCCCACUCUGUUCCUUCCACAGAAAAGGUGCUGUUUGGAGAUUGUGGGUGUCCUCCACUUGUGCCUGCUGAUCUGAACUGCUGGAAUGGUUGGCAAGGUUCAAGUGCCUACAUAUGCCUUUCUUUAGUCAAUACCAAAGAAGUCUCGGGAAGCCUUUCCAUAGAACUCUGAGUCAGAAGUCUCCAGGAAAACAAAACUCCAAAGAACCCGGAGGAAGCAGGCAAUUGGUAGGUGUCCAUAGGGAAAACCUGACGCCCAAC
rnacentral:lncRNA from 1 species